rnacentral:rRNA from 1 species
CCAAGGAGUCUAACAUGUGCGCGAGUCACUCAGUCUUGUAUAGGCUAGAGAGGCGCAAUGAAAGUAAAUUUGCUAAGUUACGAUCCUCACUUAGUUAUCUCUCGAAGGUAACGGUGGGGCGCAGUAACAGCCCGCCAAUUCCGCUUAUCGACGGUCUGGCGGAGUUGUAGCGUACACGUUGGUACCCGAAAGAUGGUGAACUAUGCUUGGGCAAGACGAAGCCAGAGGAAACUCUGGUGGAGGUCUGUAGCGAUUCUGACGUGCAAAUCGAUCGUCAGACCUGAGUAUAGGGGCGAAAGACUAAUCGAACCAUC